UACGGAGGGUGCGAGCGUUGUCCGGAAUCACUGGGCGUAAAGGGCGCGUAGGCGGCCUGAUAAGUAGGGGGUGAAAUCCUGCGGCUUAACCGCAGGGCUGCCUUCUAAACUGUCAGGCUCGAGCACAGUAGAGGCAGGUGGAAUUCCUGGUGUAGCGGUGAAAUGCGCAGAUAUCAGGAGGAACACCGGUGGCGAAAGCGGUCUGCUGGACGAUCCCUGACGCUGAGGGACGAAAGCGUGGGGAGCGAACAGG
rnacentral:rRNA from 1 species